rnacentral:rRNA from 1 species
AUUGAACGCUGGCGGCAUGCUUUACACAUGCAAGUCGAACGGCAGCGCGGGCUUCGGCCUGGCGGCGAGUGGCGAACGGGUGAGUAAUGCAUCGGAACGUGCCCAGUAUUGGGGGAUAGCCCGGCGAAAGCCGGAUUAAUACCGCAUACGACCUGAGGGGGAAAGCGGGUGAGCGAAAGGCCUGGCGCUAUUGGAGCGGCCGAUGUCGGAUUAGCUAGUUGGUGGGGUAAUGGCUUACCAAGGUGGCGAUCCGUAGCUGGUCUGAGUGGACGGCGAGCCACACUGGGACUGAGACACGGUCAAGACUCCUACGGGAGGCAGCAGUGGGGAAUUUUGGACAAUGGGGGCAACCCUGAUCCAGCCAUGCCGCGUGCGGGAAGAAGGCCUUCGGGUUGUAAACCGCUUUUGUUCGGGAAGAAAUCCUCUGGGCUAAUACCCCGGGGGGAUGACGGUACCGGAAGAAUAAGCAACGGCUAACUACGUG